AUUGAACGCUGGCGGCAGGCCUAACACAUGCAAGUCGAGCGGAUGAAGGGAGCUUGCUCCUGGAUUCAGCGGCGGACGGGUGAGUAAUGCCUAGGAAUCUGCCUGGUAGUGGGGGAUAACGUCCGGAAACGGGCGCUAAUACCGCAUACGUCCUGAGGGAGAAAGUGGGGGAUCUUCGGACCUCACGCUAUCAGAUGAGCUUAGGUCGGAUUAGCUAGUUGGUGGGGUAAAGGCCUACCAAGGCGACGAUCCGUAACUGGUCUGAGAGGAUGAUCAGUCACACUGGAACUGAGGCACGGUCCAGACUCCUACGGGAGGCAGCAGUGGGGAAUAUUGGACAAUGGGCGAAAGCCUGAUCCAGCCAUGCCGCGUGUGUGAAGAAGGUCUUCGGAUUGUAAAGCACUUUAAGUUGGGAGGAAGGGCAGUAAGUUAAUACCUUGCUGUUUUGACGUUACCAACAGAAUAAGCACCGGCUAACUUCGUG
rnacentral:rRNA from 1 species